rnacentral:rRNA from 1 species
GAUGAACGCUGACAGAAUGCUUAACACAUGCAAGUCGACUUGAAGCAACUUCGGUUGUGGAAAGUGGCGGACGGGUGAGUAACGCGUAAAGAACUUGCCCUUCAGUCUGGGACAACCAUUGGAAACGAUGGCUAAUACCGGAUAUUAUGGAACUCUCGCAUGGGAGGAUCAUGAAAGCUAUAUGCGCUGAAGGAGAGCUUUGCGUUCCAUUAGCUAGUUGGUGAGGUAAUGGCUCACCAAGGCGACGAUGGAUAGCCGGCCUGAGAGGGUGAUCGGCCACAAGGGGACUGAGACACGGCCUUUACUCCUACGGGAGGCAGCAGUGGGGAAUAUUGGACAAUGGACCAAAAGUCUGAUCCAGCAAUUCUGUGUGCACGAUGAAGGUUUUCGGAUCGUAAAGUGCUUUCAGUUGGGAAGAAGAAAGUGACGGUACCAACAGAAGAAGCGACGGCUAAAUACGUGCCAGCAGCCGCGGUAAUACGUAUGUCGCAAGCGUUAUCCGGAUUUAUUGGGCGUAAAGCGCGUCUAGGCGGGUUCAUAAGUCUGAUGUUAAAAUGCGGGGCUCAACUCCGUAUUGCGUUGGAAACUGUGAACCUAGAGUAUCAGAGAGGUGGGCGGAACUACAAGUGUAGAGGUGAAAUUCGUAGAUAUUUGUAGGAAUGCCGAUGGAGAAGUCAGCUCACUGGAUGAAUACUGACGCUAAAGCGCGAAAGCGUGGGUAGCAAACAGG